CCGUCCUAUAGGUAAAGUAGGUUAAUGUAUUAUAUUAUUGAGGGAGAAUUUGUCCGGGGCUAAAGAAAAAACAUAAAGCCCCGGAUGCCUACCCCAGGCGACGCCCCUGCUUUAGACCCUUUAUCAGGACUUGCUGCAGGUAGCAGAUCCUGAAGUAAAAGUACAAACACCACACUGUGAAAAUACUCCAUUACAAGUUAAAGUACUGCAUUCAUAUCUUAUCGAAGUAAAAGUAUGUAAGUAUUAUUAGACACAUGUACUUUAUUAUAAUAAUUAAAAUGUAUUUCGGAAGAGCAAACCUACCAAAAUAAAUAUAUUUAUAAAAAUACAUACAUUGAAUAAUAUGCCAUUUAAUGUACUGAUUUUAAAUAUGACCCAUGCAUGUGGGCACUAGGAGUGGAGUGCACCAGCUGGGCGUAAAAAAGUAGGGCUUAACUCUAACGUCGGGCUUAGCUACAUCGACUUCGUGAUUCGAAUUUACACCGAGUGCACCAAGCCUGACUAGUCUCGGGCGUAGCUGCGCCUGGUCUUAAGAUGCGCGUCCACGUGAAUACACGCGAAACAGUAAUUGUUGCCAAGCAACACACGUCUAUAUAAUUUAACACUCGAACUCCUCCAUUCAGAGCAAGCUACGAAUUGAAUAAAGAAUAUGGAUAACGGAAAGAAGAGAAAAACCAAUUUUACUGAUAGAGAGAUUAGAACAUUAAUUGAAAUAUAUGCAGAGCAUAAAAACUCGCUAACUGCCAAAUUUAAUAAUACCAUGACAAACCAACACAAACUCACAGCCUGGAAGUCAAUCACUGGUGCGAUAAAUGACUUGGGUGAUGGAGGGAUACGGACGGUGGAAGAGUGUAGGAAAAAGUGGAAGGACCUACUAUCCAGAGCCAAAAAGGAUGCAUCGGUUCUCAAAAACCCUCCGACCGGCGGAGGCCCUGCUCCAAAAACCUCUCCAUACAGCGAAAUCAUUAUUGCUAUUUUUGAAGAGGAUUCCCCCACUUUCACUGGGUUGAAUGGGAUCAACAGCUAAGAGCCCUCAACCUCAACAUUUGAAGAGGUUGACGCAGACGUGUCAGCUGUCACUAGUGACUCAGAGGACCGCAGAGAAGAGGGAAGUCCCACACCCGCAGCGUCAGCGAUGACUCAAGGGGAAUCCCAAAUGGCCACACCCCGAAAGAGAAAGAGGGAUUUAUCAGAGCUACAGCGGGAACUGACGGAGAAAGAAAUCGUUCGUGUGGAGGUGGAGACCGUAAAAUUGAGAGCGGAAUACGAACAAAUUGAGAUGGAGAAAUUGAGACUCCAAAUAAUAAUUCUUAAGAAUCAGCUACUAAUCACUGAAGAAGACAAUGUGUUCACCGUUCUGUAAUCAUGUUGUACUUGUUUUUUAUCUCAAUUUCAUGUUAAUAGUUCUCCAAAAUGUUGUUAUUUAAUGUUCUUGUGUUCUUUGAAUAAAAUAGGCCUAGUGAAAA